GGGUCAUUUCUUGAUGAAUAUCAGUGGAGCACAAUUGACCUCCUACUGGGACACAGGCAACAGGAAAAACAGAAAAAACAGGAAUAUAGGAAGUACAGGAAAUGCAUACCUUGGCUUUACGAGUGCAGCUCUCCUCAGCUACAAAGGUCUGGAGGAAUCACUCAACUGCUGUUUUAACCAUUUAGAGACAGAACAAAAGCAAACUUUCAAGAUCAAUUCAAAAGUUGUAACUGCCACUUUUAGUAACUAUGAAACCAAAACCAAUCUAAUGAAACCAGUAAAUCUCACAUUUUCUCACUUGAAGAGAAAGAAGGAGAAACAUAUCUGUGUGUUUUGGGAUCCUGAACUGGAAGGGGGCGCGUGGUCAACACGUGGCUGCAUUACAGUGAGAUCCAGGGCCGAUCAGACCGUCUGCUCCUGUUAUAAGCUCGGCAGUUUUGCUGUGCUGACGGCUCUCUGUGACACUGGGGUCUGUAUGCUUAACUUUUGUCAAAAAGGCAGCUAAUCUUGAGCUUGAUAAUUUACCCUGAUCUUCAAAUUCAAAAGUUUUCAACCCCUGGCUCUUAAUGCAUUGUGUUUCCUUCUGGAGCAUCAGUGAGCGUUUAAACCUUCUGUAAUAGUUGCAUAUGAGUCCCUCAGUUGUCCUCAGUGUGAAAAGAUGGAUCUCAAAAUUAUGCAGUCAUUGUUGGAAAGGGUUCAAUACAUAACAAAGAAUUGGGGGACCUGAAGGAUUUUUCUGAAGAACAGCGGGCAGUUUAACUGUUCAGGACAAACAAUGGAUUCAUAAACAACUAUCACUAAACAAAACAAAACAAAACAAAAAAAAAACACAGCUGUGGAUCAUGUGACUCAAGUGUAGGGAAACUUUUGAACAGGGUAAUUUUUAUAAAUUCAACUAUUAUUUUCUCUUGUGGACUAUAUGUAAACAUCUUUUAUUUUAAAUAUUUUAUUCAGGUCAGUACUAAAUAAAAAAUAACAUGCAUUUUGUAUGAUCCCUCUUAGUUUGGUAAAAUAAUUAAUGUUUUGCAGAUUCUCCUCCACUGUAAUCAUUUAUAAUAAUCCUUUAAGCCAUUUAUAUACUCAUUUCAUUGAUUUAUUCACUGAUUAUUCAUUUAUAUUAUAUAAUUGUUUUUAUAUUAUUUUUCCAUUGUUGUUUAGUCUUAUGAUAUGUGACCCUGGACCACAAAACCAGUCUUAAGUCGCUGGGGUAUAUUUGUAGCAAUAGCCAAAAAUACAUUGUAUGAGUCAAAAUGAUUGAUUUUUCUUUUAUGGCAAAAAUCAUUAGGAAAUUAAGUAAAGAUCAUGUUCCAUGAAGAUAUUUUGUAAAAUUCCUUUUGUAAAUGUAUGAAAACUUAAUUUUUGAUUAGUCAUAUAAAUAGUUGUAUCUUGGCCAAAUAUUGUCCUAUCCUAACAAACUAUACAUCAAUGAAAAGCUUAUUUAUCCAGCUUUCAUAUGAUGCAUAAAUCUCAAUUUUGAAAAAAUGACCCUUAUGACUGGUUUUGUGAUCCAGGGUCACAUAUGUGGUUUCAAGGGCUACUUGUCUUCAUGAGUAAGAUAUAAGAGACUGUCUUCAUUUCAAGGUUUUUAAUGUCACAGUUGUUGUGAAGUAAUUUUCCAUUGCUAUUGCUUGUGAUAUAGUCCUCACUACUCACUGCAGGGCUUUCCUGUCAGAUGCUGAGCAGUGUUAGUACACUUUCAAUAACGCAUCUACAGAAACCAGUGAGGACGAGGGGAAAACGCCAUCUCUCUUCAGUUUUUAUCUCUUAAAUUUAACUAUCUCUUUAGAUAUUUAUACCUCAAUACUGUAGUACAUUAAAAAAACAGUACACAAUAACAGAGUGUAAAUGAAGUAUGAACUCUAUAUUAAACUAUGUGUAAACUAGGCACAGUAUACAUACUGCAGAAAUAGUAAGAUUAGUAUGAUAUGGCGCCUACUAUGCCCUUAAAGUAUGUACUAUUUGGGGAAGAAAAAGUGCACACUUUUAAGUGUGUAAUAAAAGAGCAAGCAAGCUUUGGAUAAUUGGCUCUUUUUUUUUCAUAAUAAUAAUGCAUUUAAAUGGCCAAACAAAUGUAUAAUAGUUAUAAAAGUUCACAUUGUUGUUACAGAUGAAAUUUAACACAGAUAAAAUUUUAAAAAACAUUUUUUUAACAGGUUAAAUGUUCAUUAUUAGUAACUCGAACCCUAAAUCUAAACUUCUCGAACUAACCGUCGGUCGCGCACAUCCGCCAUGUUUGUAGUUUUUAAACGCUUUUUAUUGUAGUUCUGAACGUAAUCCUUCGCCAAAGUGCAAUGAAUUGUGGGUAAUAUUAGCCACUGGAGUGUGUACGGACCCACACCUCAAUAUCUCCAUGAAGUAACGGACCAUCCGGGGACUUUUGUGAUACUGUUUUCAACAUACUAUGCUUUGGGACACACUGUUUAGGAUAGAUCCCACAUACCAUUUAGGACGGACAGUGUUGAACAUUGGGACAUAAAUUCAUAUCCAAAACAGUAUUUAAAAAGAGUAUUAAAAUAUAU